rnacentral:rRNA from 1 species
AUUGAACGCUGGCGGCAGGCUUAACACAUGCAAGUCGAGCGGUAAAAGGCCGCUUGGUCCUGGAGUGAGCGGCGCGGGGGAGAGAAAUACCGAGAAAUGUGCCGGGGAGGGGGGGAAAACGGCCGGAGACGGGCGCUAAUAGCACAUGCGCUGAGGGGGAGAGAGGGGGGGCACGUCGGAACGUUUGGCAUCACAUGACUCGAGGUCCGAUUAGCUAGUUGGUGGGGUAAAGGCCUACCAAGGCGACGAUCCGUAGCUGGUCUGAGAGGAUGAGCAGCCACACUGGGACUGAGACACGGUCCAGACUCCUACGGGAGGCAGCAGUGGGGAAUUUUGGACAAUGGGCGCAAGCCUGAUCCAGCCAUGCCGCGUGCGUGAAGAAGGUCUUCGGAUUGUAAAGCGCUUUUGUUCGGGACGAAGAGCCUUUGGCUAAUACCUUGCUGUGUUGACGUUACCGUAAGAAUAAGCACCGGCUAACUACGUG